GCAGUCGAACGAGAAAGUUUCCUUCGGGGAGCAAGUAGAGUGGCGCACGGGUGAGUAACGCGUAGGUAAUCUACCCUUAUAUCUGGGAUAACAUUGGGAAACUGGUGCUAAUACCGGAUACACUUUUCUGCUGCGGGGCAGAAGAGGAAAGGUGGCCUCUUGGUCAAAGCUACCGUAUAGGGAUGAGCCUGCGUACCAUUAGCUAGUAGGUGGGGUAACGGCCCACCUAGGCGACGAUGGUUAGCGGGUCUGAGAGGAUGAUCCGCCACACUGGAACUGGAACACGGACCAGACUCCUACGGGAGGCAGCAGUGAGGAAUAUUGCGCAAUGGGGGAAACCCUGACGCAGCGACGCCGCGUGAGUGAGGAAGGUCUUCGGAUCGUAAAGCUCUGUCAGAAGGGAAGAAGUGUUAGAUGGUUAAUACCCAUUUAAUUUGACGGUACCUUCAGAGGAAGCACCGGCUAACUCCGUGCCAGCAGCCGCGGUAAUACGGAGGGUGCGAGCGUUGUUCGGAAUUACUGGGCGUAAAGGGCGCGUAGGCGGCUUUAUAAGUCAGAUGUGAAAGUCCAUGGCUCAACUGUGGAAGUGCAUUUGAAACUGUGAAGCUUGAGUAUCGGAGGGGAGUGUGGAAUUCCCGGUGUAGAGGUGAAAUUCGUAGAGAUCGGGAGGAACACCGGUGGCGAAGGCGACACUCUGGACGAAUACUGACGCUGAGGCGCGAAAAGCGUGGGGAGCAAACAGGAAUUAGAUACCCUGGUAAGUCCACGCCGUAAAC
rnacentral:rRNA from 1 species